CCUACGGGAGGCAGCAGUGAGGAAUAUUGGUCAAUGGGCGCGAGCCUGAACCAGCCAAGUCGCGUGAGGGAAGACGGCCCUACGGGUUGUAAACCUCUUUUGCCGGGGAGCAACGGGCGCCACGUGUGGCGCCACUGAGAGUACCCGGAGAAAAAGCAUCGGCGAACGCCGUGCCGGCCGCCGCGGUAAGACGGAGGCUGCGAGCGUUAGCGGGAUUUAUUGGGUUUAAGGGGUGCGUAGGCGGGGCGUGAAGUCCGUGGGGAAAUGGAGGGGCCCCACCCCUUCCCGCCAUUGACACUGGGGCUGUUGAGGGGAAGAGAAGUAUGCGGAGUGCGUGGUGUAGCGGGGAAAUGCAUAGAUAGCACGCAGAACCCCGAUUGCGAAGGCAGCAUGCCGGCUUCCUACUGACGCGGAAGCACGAAAGCGUGGGGAUCGAACAGGAUUAGAUACCCGGGUAGUC
rnacentral:rRNA from 1 species